rnacentral:rRNA from 1 species
UACGGGGGGAGCAAGCGUUGUUCGGAUUUACUGGGCGUAAAGGGCGCGUAGGCGGCACCGCAAGUCGACUGUGAAAUCUCCGGGCUUAACUCGGAAAGGUCAGCCGAUACUGCGGGGCUAGAGUGCAGAAGGGGCAACUGGAAUUCUCGGUGUAGCGGUGAAAUGCGUCGAUAUCGAGAGGAACACCUGCGGCGAAGGCGGCCAACUGGUCCGGUACUGACGCUGAGGUGCGAAAGCGUGGGGAGCAAACAGG